rnacentral:lncRNA from 1 species
GUGUUUGGUGGUCGACAUACACGCACGCUUCGGUUUCGACCGUGCCUGUCACACAAGCAGUGGGUCGGGUUUGUGCAAACCUGAAUCAUCAUGUCCUCAAUCUAGGCGCAUCCAUUCAUUCGACAUACACGAUCCAUGCGACAAUCAUUUGCUGGGAUCAAUGGGAUUUUCAAGCAGUGGUCUACGCAAUCAAUGGUUGGUUUGCUGCGAAACAAAUUUGUGG